rnacentral:rRNA from 2 species
CUUGCAUCAUGAUUUACAUUUGAGUGAGUGGCGAACUGGUGAGUAACACGUGGGAAACCUGCCCAGAAGCGGGGGAUAACACCUGGAAACAGAUGCUAAUACCGCAUAACAACUUGGACCGCAUGGUCCGAGUUUGAAAGAUGGCUUCGGCUAUCACUUUUGGAUGGUCCCGCGGCGUAUUAGCUAGAUGGUGGGGUAACGGCUCACCAUGGCAAUGAUACGUAGCCGACCUGAGAGGGUAAUCGGCCACAUUGGGACUGAGACACGGCCCAAACUCCUACGGGAGGCAGCAGUAGGGAAUCUUCCACAAUGGACGAAAGUCUGAUGGAGCAACGCCGCGUGAGUGAAGAAGGGUUUCGGCUCGUAAAACUCUGUUGUUAAAGAAGAACAUAUCUGAGAGUAACUGUUCAGGUAUUGACGGUAUUUAACCAGAAAGCCACGGCUAACUACGUGCCAGCAGCCGCGGUAAUACGUAGGUGGCAAGCGUUGUCCGGAUUUAUUGGGCGUAAAGCGAGCGCAGGCGGUUUUUUAAGUCUGAUGUGAAAGCCUUCGGCUCAACCGAAGAAGUGCAUCGGAAACUGGGAAACUUGAGUGCAGAAGAGGACAGUGGAACUCCAUGUGUAGCGGUGAAAUGCGUAGAUAUAUGGAAGAACACCAGGUGGCGAAGGCGGCUGUCUGGUCUGUAACUGACGCUGAGGCUCGAAAGUAUGGGUAGCAAACAGGAUUAGAUACCCUGGUAGUCCAUACCGUAAACGAUGAAUGCUAAGUGUUGGAGGGUUUCCGCCCUUCAGUGCUGCAGCUAACGCAUUAAGCAUUCCGCCUGGGGAGUACGGCCGCAAGGCUGAAACUCAAAGGAAUUGACGGGGGCCCGCACAAGCGGUGGAGCAUGUGGUUUAAUUCGAAGCUACGCGAAGAACCUUACCAGGUCUUGACAUACUAUGCAAAUCUAAGAGAUUAGACGUUCCCUUCGGGGACAUGGAUACAGGUGGUGCAUGGUUGUCGUCAGCUCGUGUCGUGAGAUGUUGGGUUAAGUCCCGCAACGAGCGCAACCCUUAUUAUCAGUUGCCAGCAUUAAGUUGGGCACUCUGGUGAGACUGCCGGUGACAAACCGGAGGAAGGUGGGGAUGACGUCAAAUCAUCAUGCCCCUUAUGACCUGGGCUACACACGUGCUACAAUGGAUGGUACAACGAGUUGCGAACUCGCGAGAGUAAGCUAAUCUCUUAAAGCCAUUCUCAGUUCGGAUUGUAGGCUGCAACUCGCCUACAUGAAGUCGGAAUCGCUAGUAAUCGCGGAUCAGCAUGCCGCGGUGAAUACGUUCCCGGGCCUUGUACACACCGCCCGUCACACCAUGAGAGUUUGUAACACCCAAAGUCGGU